rnacentral:rRNA from 1 species
GACGAACGCUGGCGGCGUGCUUAACACAUGCAAGUCGAACGGAAAGGCCCUGCUUUUGUGGGGUGCUCGAGUGGCGAACGGGUGAGUAACACGUGAGUAACCUGCCCUUGAAUUUGGGAUAACUUCAGGAAACUGGGGCUAAUACCGGAUAGGAGCUCCUGCUGCAUGGUGGGGGUUGGAAAGUUUCGGCGGUUGGGGAUGGACUCGAGGCUUAUCAGCUUGUUGGUGGGGUAGUGGCUUACCAAGGCUUUGACGGGUAGCCGGCCUGAGAGGGUGACCGGCCACAUUGGGACUGAGAUACGGCCCAGACUCCUACGGGAGGCAGCAGUGGGGAAUAUUGCACAAUGGGCGGAAGCCUGAUGCAGCAACGCCGCGUGCGGGAUGACGGCCUUCGGGGUGUAAACCGCUUUCGCCUGUGACGAAGCGUGAGUGACGGUAAUGGGUAAAGAAGCACCGGCUAACUACGUG